rnacentral:lncRNA from 1 species
AUGAGUAUCGGGUUGUUUCCAAUAUUUUGCUCUUACAACAGUGCUGUAACGAAUAACAUUUUACACCUAUCAUUUUGUGCAGAUGCAUAUAUAUCACAUAUAUUGCAAAUGACAUAUACCUUAUAUGUGCAGGAUAAAGCCCUACAAGUGACACUGCUGAGUCAAAACACAAGGAUAUUCACCAUUUUGCUACAUAGUUGUGAUUUUGCUGUGCAUGAUUUUACUGAAGACUUCAUCCUAAAUAUUUGUACGAAGAAGGAAGCAGUGUCUGAAAGCCGAGAUGCCAGCAGCAUGAAUAAGGAGUGUAUCAAGGACGUGAAAUUAAAGUCUGUAUUUCUAAACAGGGCUCCCUUUUCCGUGGCGUUCUUUCUGCGAGGGGUUGCCUUGGCUGCUUCCAAGCGUUGUACUUGAUCUUCUUUAAUUUACAGAAUAAAAGAUUCAUGAGUUUUAAAGAAAGACGUCA